UGGGGAAUAUUGCACAAUGGGCGCAAGCCUGAUGCAGCCAUGCCGCGUGUAUGAAGAAGGCCUUCGGGUUGUAAAGCACUUUCAGCGGGGAGGAAGGCGUUAAGGUUAAUAACCUUGGCGAUUGACGUUACCCGCAGAAGAAGCACCGGCUAACUCCGUGCCAGCAGCCGCGGUAAUACGGAGGGUGCAAGCGUUAAUCGGAAUUACUGGGCGUAAAGCGCACGCAGGCGGUCUGUCAAGUCGGAUGUGAAAUCCCCGGGCUCAACCUAGGAACUGCAUUCGAAACUGGCAGGCUAGAGUCUUGUAGAGGGGGGUAGAAUUCCAGGUGUAGCGGUGAAAUGCGUAGAGAUCUGGAGGAAUACCGGUGGCGAAGGCGGCCCCCUGGACGAAGACUGACGCUCAGGUGCGAAAGCGUGGGGAGCAAACAGG
rnacentral:rRNA from 1 species